CUGCAGAGCGUCCAGAGGGAAUUUAUGAACGCACCCCAACAGGAACCGGCCAACCUCCUGCAGAGCGUCCAGAGGGAAUUUAUGAACGCACCCCAACAGGAACCGGCCAACGUCCUGCAGAGCGUCCAGAGGGAAUUUAUGAACGCACCCCAACAGGAACCGGCCAACGUCCUGCUACUGUUGCCAUUCUUAUUUUUAUUUUUUUAGAACUUGAGCUUUGAUGCAGCCAACUUUUUAAAUAAUGCACUUUCUAUAAUGAAAAAAAUGAUGCUAUUAAAUGUGUAAUUUGGUGUAAUUAACACUGUAGACAUCAAUUACAAUGUCCAGAACAAUCCUACCUCGGCUUCAUGUGUUUUUAUAUUUGUCUGUUUCCUUUUCAAUGCCUUGUACUGUCUUUCCUUUAGAAACCCCCCAGAUAUCCUCCAAAUCAAUUCCUUUCCUGUUGGUUUUACGCUCUAUUUCUCCUCCUUCUUCUUGUUGUCCUGAUGUCCUAGUCCCUCAGUCCUACCCUUCUUGGUUCUUGCCAGAUGAUCAACAUGACUUAGUAGACUAGCUAGCUUUCAGAGCCAGGUUUAACCGAUCUCUCGAAAUCUCUCUCAAAAUCAAACAAUCUUCUCAAAGGAAAACCAUCUCCAGAUGUGGAGAACACGGCACAGCAUUGAAACAACCAAACUGUUCACGAAAAAACUAAAUAAUUUAACAAAAAUAAUCACAUUUUAGGAGGAGCUCUCUCAACUGCUGCUGCUCAGUUAGAUGGUGAUGUCACAAUCAGUAUAAAAUGGGCCAUAACCUGUAAACUAGAUCCCACUCUGUAACUUUGAUCUGCACAUAGAAAAUCCACCAAAUCAUGGUCUUUUUUUUCUCCUACUAAUUUCGUGAGAAAUCAGCCGUAUAUGGUUAUCAGACGUCUCAUUCUCAAGCACACUAUUUCUAAUAUUCUCUAGUUCCCCCCCCCCUCUUCAUUAUUUCGAAAGGAAAUUCAGUAUCACUCGUGGUCCGCUCUGCAGUGUCACUCCAGUGUGUGAUCACCACUCACUCUGUGGAGUUUUGAGAAGUAUUGCAGUGACGUGGCGGACGCUGCAGCCUGGGGGGGACAACUGGAGGUACCUUCAUCCAAAGGACCCAACAGAGCACCUGGUGUUAUAAUGCUGAGAGCUCUGACGCGGGUCAACUGCCAAUAGAAGUGCUCCAAGCCGAUUCUCCAGCGAUAAUCAUCGGAGAGGAAUUUGACAAGUCACCCAUCACCAUUAUUUACAUGCGUCAUGCAUAUGGACUGGGUGAACACUACAACUCAGUGGAACGUCUGAAGGAACUCAAGAGGAAGGCUGAGACGCAUUGAGUUAAAUUAUAAUGAAUGAUAAAGUCAAGCAGGGGUGGAGAUAGAAACAAUUUGGGAACCCACCAAUGUAAAACCUUUGAAUUCACAAUGUCAAAUGACAAAAUGAUUUCACUUCUAGAGAGCCACCCCCUCCCCCCCACAUACAGUUUACAGUCUAGAUAAAGUGCUUGCAGUCCAAGGAAUUCGAUGGGAGGAGAGAGGCCGAGAGACUGAAAAUAAUACCACCACCUAACUAUGUGGGGACUGAGGGAAUAUUUACCGUCAGAGUGAGCUGAGGCAGAAUUGGAAGUAACUUUGUACAUCCUUCAUCAGUGCUUGUGAUACUCUUGAUAUCAUCAUGGAAAUGUUAUCUAUUAAAUAUUGCUUUUGGUGGUGAUGUGCUGUUAUUUCCAAUGACUGCAAUAUCAAAGGCUGAUUGUCUUGUAUGUGUGUAUGCUGAUGGACAAUAUUGUCUCAUACAAUAAAAUGUUUUUUAAUUCCA